rnacentral:lncRNA from 1 species
UCGGAGUUGGACCAGAGAUAUUUGAAGACCCUGAAGACUUUGUUAAAACAGGCAAGCAGCCCUUUGACCAUGAUGAACCAUUUUACAUUAUAAUAGCAUUUUUGUUGCUUCACUGAGUGCAUGAUAUACCUUGAAUGGCAACCUUGCUAGGCUUGCCUCCGUUGCAUACUCCAUUGAUACUUGCAUUGUUCAUGACUCUACCCUUGCUUAGAGUUGUGUUGGUGGGUUGUAGAAAUAUGCUAUAGUAAAUGGCUACGCAAAGUGGGUCAGGGUUAUGCAUGGAAAGAAAGAAGUGUGGUUUGACAUACUUGCAAACAGCCCAGUGGGUGCCACUAAUGCCCCUGGGAGAUGAUGAUGAACUAGGUCACUACUUGGUGGAGAAGUAGUGUACCGAGGCUCGAUAAAAGUGUUGUUUACAGAGACGGAUUAGAUUUAAGAUUUGUCGACCGUCCCAACCAAACAUGCGCGACCACUCUACCCUUAUAUGGGAAAGGGCAUUAUUGAUUACCUAGGUCGAUACUAGCUUGGAGCCUGCAUUACUAGUGACGGGAUAGUCGUUGUUGCGCUCUCUCGGGAUGGGUUCGUGCCAGGUAGGGCGGCCAAGAACAUUUUUAUGGGGCACCGGACACACCGUCGGUACCCCGUGCCAGUGGUAUGUGAUGAAUAUGGGAGCGAGGCUCCAUAAUUUUAAGUUGUGAAAUGUUGGGCACGGGGGUUACUACCAAUUGAGUGGACUCUAUGUUAGUGUUGUCUAGGGAAAGAUAGUGAUCGGGUGCUUACCCCGGGUACUUGAGGUACCGCGGGUCGUGGAUGACACGGAAGUUCCCCGGAUCUUGUGGGUAAAGUGUGCAACCUCUGCAGAGUGUAAAACUAUUCGAAUAGCCGUGUCCACGGUCAAGGACAGUUGGUGGUGCUGCUUAGACUACGUCCAUAUGUUUCUGACAAACAACACGGUUUGGUAAAUCUAUUGACGUGAUUCGUGAGGAUGUCACGAUGAGCUUGAGCAUGAGUUGUUCAUAACUCUCUCUCGAUGUUGAUGUCUGUAACCUCCUGAUACUUGUUGCAGACGCAUUCAUAUCCUUGAUAAAUGUUGAUCAUACUUGCAUGAGAAAAACUAGCUUUCCACAAAAAUGCCAAUUUAGCAGUAGUGCCUUGCAUAAUUAUUCUGUUAUCACCCUUGGGUUUCUUGCGAGUACAUUCAAAGUACUCAUUGGCUUGCCACUGGUUAUUUUAUUGGCCAGGCAUGAAAGAACAGGAUAUGAUGAAGAAUACUUCGUGACGAACAUGCGAGCUAGGACGCUUCCCAGUCAGAAUGCCUGUAGGGUUAAGGCAGAUGGCAUGGGUCCAAGUUAUCGACGAAGAUUUCCGCUGCGAUGUUAUACUCAAGACUUGACCAUAAUGGUCCUACUUGUGUAAUACGGUAUGUAUGGAUGUAAGACUCUUGUUAUUCAGCUUCGGUGUGUUCAGUGAGCAUUGAUCUCUGGGAUCACUGUACACGUGCAUUCGGUGAUCAUGACUUAUGAUUCG